CUUUAUCCUAUUGCUUUGGUAUACUUUGAAAGAAAUAAUAAAUAGUAAGUUAAAAUGAGAAAAAAAUGUUUAGAUUCUGAAUGAAAUUAGGAAUGUACUAGAUUUAUAAAGAUGUUUAUUUAUUAUUAUUAUUAUUAUUUUUUUUUUUUGUGAACACUUUCUACCAGAAAUCACACUCUGAUUAUCAAGUAUAGCACCUUUUCUGAAACAAAAUUUUCUCUGGGUGGUACUUUAGAGAGGUAAUUUUUUUAAAUUCUCAUUAAUAUUUGAGAUAAUGAGAAAGACCUCAGUUUUAGGUUAAAAAAGAUUCAAAAUAAGGUUGUCAAUGGCAAAUUUUUUGUGUGAUAAAAUGAGAAAAAGAAAUAUGCAAAAUUAAGUUUUUCGUUCAAUUUUGUUAGCUACAGAAAACACCACAAAAUAACACUUAAUAAUACAAAUUACACAGAAUAAUUAAUAUAUUGUGAAUUUAUACACUAUAUUGUAAAUUAUAACUCAUGAUAACCCAUCUAUAUUAGAAAUAAUCAAUAAAAACCAUUUAUAAAUUCAGUACAAUAACAAUUAUCUAAUAUUUGUAUGGCACCGUGGGUUUAUUAAUAUCUGUAUAGUACCUAUAUAGAAGACUUAUAAAAACUUUUAUUAUUAUAUAUAUAUUAAUAUGAGUAAUUAUGUUUUUUUGUAUUAAUAGUGAUAUUGUCAUAAAUAUGGAUAAGGUGACCAUACAUUCAUGUUUAAAAUACAUGGAAUUUGUGAAAAAAGAUUACUGUAAGUAUUCUUAUUUGCAUGAUACACUCGUCUUACUAUUUAUUUAAAUUAAUUGUAUUUAUUACAGCCUUGUAUAUUAGACUAUGCAAUGGUUCUAAGUGUCAAGUUGAUAUGGUACAAUUUGUAGAUGCUGUUUAAAAUUCGAAAAAGAAUCAAAUGAUACAAUUAAUUUAAACUUGAAUCAAAACAUUCAAGACCUUGUGAAUCAAUGUAAUUGUGAAAUAUCUGUGAAUAAUUUACCAGAAUGUGACUAAGUCAACCUAUAAAAGAGGGAUAUGGAGUUUUGUGAUGGACUUUCAGUUAUAUUAUUAUUAAGUAGUUAAUAACUUGACUGUUUUUUCAAAAAUAUUUUAUGAAUUAAGUAAUAAGUUUUUAUUCUGCAUUUAUAAUUAUACUAUUGUUGAAUGUUAUGGGAAUAAACAGUAUGAUCGUAG